rnacentral:rRNA from 1 species
CGCCUGUUUAACAAAAACAUGUCUGUAUGGUUGUUAUAUAGAGUCUAGCCUGCCCACUGACGAAAGUUAAAGGGCCGCGGUAUUUUGACCGUGCGAAGGUAGCAUAAUCAUUAGUCUUUUAAUUGGAGGCUUGUAUGAAUGGUUGGACAAAAAAUAAGCUGUCUCUAUUUUAUUUCUUGAAUUUAACUUUUAAGUGAAAAGGCUUAGAUGUUCUAGGGGGACGAUAAGACCCUAUAAAGCUUUACAGUGUAUUGAUUAAAUUUUAAAUUGUUAGUAUUAACUUAAUUUAUUUAAUAACUGUUUCGUUGGGGCGACGAAAAUAUAAUAAAUAGUAACUGUUUUUCUUUUAGAAUAACAAUAAAUUUUUGGGAGUAAUUGAUCCUUUCUUAAAGAUUAAAAGAUUAAGUUACUUUAGGGAUAACAGCGUAAUCUUCUUUGAGAGUUCAUAUCGACAAGAAGGGUUGCGACCUCGAUGUUGAAUUAAGGUUUCCUUGAGGUGUAGCAGUUUCAUGGGAGGGUCUGUUCGACCUUUAAAUCCUUACAUGAUCUGAGUUCAGACCGG